AGCAGCCGCGGUAAUUCCAGCUCCAAUAGCGUAUAUUAAAGUUGUUGUGGUUAAAAAGCUCGUAGUUGAACCUUGGGCCUGGCCGUCCGGUCCGCCUCACCGCGUGUACUGGCUCGGCCGGGCCUUUCCCUCUGUGGAACCCCAUGCCCUUCACUGGGCGUGGCGGGGAAACAGGACUUUUACUGUGAAAAAUUAGAGUGCUCCAGGCAGGCCUAUGCUCGAAUACAUUAGCAUGGAAUAAUAGAAUAGGACGUGUGGUUCCAUUUUGUUGGUUUCUAGGACCGCCGUAAUGAUUAAUAGGGACAGUCGGGGGCAUCAGUAUUCAAUUGUCAGAGGUGAAAUUCUUGGAUUUAUUGAAGACUAACUACUGCGAAAGCAUUUGCCAAGGAUGUUUUCAUUAAUCAGGAACGAAAGUUAGGGGAUCGAAGACGAUCAGAUACCGUCGUAGUCUUAACCAUAAACUAUGCCGACUAG
rnacentral:sRNA from 1 species